rnacentral:rRNA from 1 species
UACGUAGGUGGCAAGCGUUGUCCGGAUUUAUUGGGCGUAAAGAGCUCGUAGGCGGUCGUGUAAGUCGGGUGUGAAAUCUCCGGGCUCAACUCGGAGGGGCCACCCGAUACUGCUCGACUCGAGUCCGGUAGGGGAGUGGGGAAUUCCUGGUGUAGCGGUGAAAUGCGCAGAUAUCAGGAGGAACACCAAUGGCGAAGGCAGCUCGCUGGAACGGUACUGACGCUGAGGCGCGAAAGCGUGGGGAGCGAACAGG